rnacentral:rRNA from 1 species
AGCGAACGCUGGCGGCAGGCUUAACACAUGCAAGUCGAACGGGCGUAGCAAUACGUCAGUGGCAGACGGGUGAGUAACGCGUGGGAACGUACCUUUUGGUUCGGAACAACCCAGGGAAACUUGGGCUAAUACCGGAUAAGCCCUUACGGGGAAAGAUUUAUCGCCGAAAGAUCGGCCCGCGUCUGAUUAGCUAGUUGGUGUGGUAACGGCGCACCAAGGCGACGAUCUGUAGCUGGUCUGAGAGGACGACCGGCCACACUGGGACUGAGACACGGCCCAGACUCCUACGGGAGGCAGCAGUGGGGAAUAUUGCGCAAUGGGC